ensembl:lncRNA
GGAAUCUGAAGGCUAGACCGUCCCAUUUCACAGCCUCGCACUUCCGGCCUUCUUGGACUUCGAAGGACCCGGCCCACGUAGACCGCGAAGGCCGGGUCCUUCGAUGGAUGCAGCCGACGUUUUGGGACACAGCUACAAAUUACCUCAGACACACAGACUGAUGCGACAAAACCACUUAAUCUGACCUGGAGAGACAAACAGCAAAGUGGAGCAGACUGACACAGUUACUGCAGACGUAGAUGUAGCCGUCCAUGCCAAAUCUACACCCUUGGAUUAAAUGGUUACUAUCUAAGUUAACUGGCUCCGGAGCAUGUGAUAAAGUGAUAGUAAUGUCUUAGAGGGUAAUAUUUCUAUGUGGACUAUUGGAAACAACUGAGCAUUGUUAUGAGCCUGCUUCUCUGGUAAGUGAGUAACAUGUGAUUCUGUCACCUGAGGUCCAAUAUUGCAUCGUGAAAGUGAUCUUAAAGCACUGCUAAACCCUAUCCCAAUGCAUACCAUCCUGACAUUGUCAAAAAAAAAGAAGCACGUUUGUUUAUUUUUGGUUCUUAUUGUCAUGUUUUGUCAAUGUUGGGACAACAUUUAUUUAGCAGGGGAGGAAUGUAGCACUUGGUAAAGUGUAAAGCUAAAAUAUGUCUAAAACAUUGCAGAAAUCUGUUGGUAUUUGGGCUAUUCAGCAAUAUAUUUGGGGUUUUUUGGCUGCUACAUGUUUCCACCAGUAGAGGGCAGUCAGGGCAAAAAGAAAAGAAAAAUGUUCUGUAAAAAAGGAGAGAAGAGAGUACGCUUGGGUACUGUAUGUAAAAGCCAUGGUUCUGAAGUACCCAAAUAAACUCAGUUUGCUGCUUACAAAGUUGUCCUGAAGUGGUGUAACUCGUGUCACAAAUUAUAGCAGUGAAUCUUAAUAAAACAAGUAAUUAAAGGGCAUACCUGCAUUGGUUAACUCAUUUAAAUUAUCACAACUGACACGUGUGUUUGUAUCAUCCAUGUUAGAUGACUUCCUUCUAAUCUCAAUAGAUAUUUUUUCCUGGUUAAAAAAAAAGGUUUAAUUAAAAAAUUGAAAUGCAGCA